AUUGAACGCUGGCGGCAUGCCUUACACAUGCAAGUCGAACGGCAGCACGGGAGCAAUCCUGGUGGCGAGUGGCGAACGGGUGAGUAAAGUAUCGGAACGUGCUCAGUCGUGGGGGAUAACGUAGCGAAAGUUACGCUAAUACCGCAUACGAUCUAUGGAUGAAAGCGGGGGAUCGCAAGACCUCGCGCGAUUGGAGCGGCCGAUAUCAGAUUAGGUAGUUGGUGGGGUAAAGGCUCACCAAGCCGACGAUCUGUAGCUGGUCUGAGAGGACGACCAGCCACACUGGGACUGAGACACGGCCCAGACACCUACGGGAGGCAGCAGUGGGGAAUUUUGGACAAUGGGCGAAAGCCUGAUCCAGCCAUGCCGCGUGCAGGAUGAAGGCCUUCGGGUUGUAAACUGCUUUUGUACGGAACGAAAAGGUUUGGCCUAAUAAGCUGAGCUCAUGACGGUACCGUAAGAAUAAGCACCGGCUAACUACGUGCCAGCAGCCGCAGUAA
rnacentral:rRNA from 1 species